rnacentral:rRNA from 1 species
UACGAAGGGGGCAAGCGUUGUUCGGAAUUACUGGGCGUAAAGGGCGCGUAGGCGGCUUAUCAAGUCAGGCGUGAAAUUCCCCGGGCUCAACCUGGGGGCUGCGCUUGAUACUGAUUGGCUUGAAUGCGGGAGAGGAUAGUGGAAUUCCCAGUGUAGAGGUGAAAUGCGUAGAGAUCGGGAGGAACACCAGUGGCGAAGGCGGCUCGCUGGGCCGGUCCUGACGCUGAGACGCGAAGGCGUGGGGAGCGAACGGG